GUUCUCGCUCUGCCAGCACAUAUACUAAAAUUGGAAUGAUACAGAGAAGAUUAUCAUGGCCCCUGCGCAAGGAUGACACACAAAUUCGUGAAGUUACAUAUUUUUGU
rnacentral:snRNA from 1 species